rnacentral:rRNA from 1 species
ACCCGUCUUGAAACACGGACCAAGGAGUCUAACAUGUGCGCGAGUCAUUGGGUUACUGUUAAAAGCGAACAAGCCUAAAGGCGCAAUGAAAGUGAAGGUCGGCCAUAGCGUCGAUCGAGGGAGGAUGGCCCGGGUUCGCUCGGGUCCGCACUCCCGGGGCGUCUCACGGUCGUUACGACCAGAGGCGCACCCAGAGCGUACACGUUGGGACCCGAAAGAUGGUGAACUAUGCCUGGUCAGGACGAAGUCAGGGGAAACCCUGAUGGAGGUCCGUAGCGAUUCUGACGUGCAAAUCGAUCGUCGGAACUGGGUAUAGGGGCGAAAGACUAAUCGAACCAUCUAGUAGCUGGUUCCCUCCGAAGUUUCCCUCAGGAUAGCUGGCACUCGCUCGAUAGCGAGUCUCAUCUGGUAAAGCGAAUGAUUAGAGGCCUUGGGGCCGAAACGACCUCAACCUAUUCUCAAACUUUAAAUGGGUGAGAUCUCUGGCUUGCUUGAAUGUUGAAGCCAAGAGAUCGUGCCUCGUCGCGUGUUCACGCGGCGGGAGCGCCUCACGGAUCAGAGUGCCAAGUGGGCCAAUUUUGGUAAGCAGAACUGGCGCUGUGGGA